UUAGUUUUUGGAGGGCAAAUCAUUGCGGCGCUGAGCAGAUGUCCAAUUUGAUUUGUUGAAGUGGAUCAUGGUUCCUCCUUUACUGAUGAAUGUUGCAUGUAAGACAGCCAUAACACUCCUUUCCUGUGCAUAACGUGGAAAUGUUAUAUAUGCCUCUGCUAUGAAAAAACCCGGAGAUUGACCCGGAAACAAGAAAAUUAUAUAAAGCUCAAGUAUUUUAUACAACAACAAUAAACUAGCCCUUUCUAAAAUAUAGCAAUUGUAUCUACGCAAGUUUCUUAUACUAUUGUGUGUUAGCACGUUGUUCUAGCCUACAGGUUUAGUUGAUCCAGAGAUACAUUUAUUAUCCAUGUUUGAGUAUGCAGUGAAAGCUUAUCAAUUCAUUUGUUGAGGACUAGAAGCUUAUCAAUGAAUUGGAUGAUGAAUUUUCUAGCUUGGAAAUAGCCAACUCUCUCCCUGCAAAAUAUAAAAAGUUGUUGUUAGCUCUCAUAUGAACGUGUAUUUAGAAAAUUUUGGAAGUUGAGGAGCUUGAAGAAAAUGUACUUUCUUUUUCAUGUGCAUAUACCUCUUGGGUAUUUUAAUGAAAACUGGAAGAUUUUGUCUUCUGGUUGUUCUUCAUGAUACUACUACUCGUUCUAUACAGAUAAAAAGAAAUCUAUGUGUACAUGAAUACUUGCAGUUUUCACAUUACUGAUUGCUUUUCUUUUCAACUCGGAAUUUUUGUAAUUUGUAUACUCCUUAUUGCCUUGUUUCCUGUCUGGGUUGUUGUGUUCCAAAUGUUAUUUUUACGUGGCGUUGUGACGCCUCUUACUGUCUUUGCUGGAUAACUUUAGGAGACAUUCCCACCAGGCUUCAAUGGAGGGGAAGGUAGCCGCUAGACUUGGACUCAAAUGGACACCCUGCCAGGAGAGCACCAUGGAGAAGACGGACGAGGUGAAGAGGCAGUCCUUGCAGAGAUGGGUGGCGGUUUCCGGGACCUGAAGCACCCACAUAUCUGUGUUUUGAUUUCUUGUUUGAAACUACUGGGCGUCCAUAUCACUAUCACUUCACCAUCCAGUGAAGAAUGGAUCCAUCAACUCUAAUAUGAUUAAUGUCAUCUUCCUUGGGGCUUUUUUUACCACUGCCAUAGACAAGUGUUUAUUUAGUUCAUGGUCAUUUCUAUUUAGUUCGUGGCUGAUGGGAGCAUGAGGAGUACCUUUCAAACUACUGUUCCUCUUUUCAUCUUAUAGUUUUUGUUGCUUACAUUUUGCCAUGCAUCUCUGACAGAGAAACAGGACAGAGAAGUCAAGAGGAGCAUUAAUGAUAUGUGUAAAUGUCACUGUUGUCCAAGUUCUGGAACUUUUUCACUAAUCGUUGUUGAAACUAGGGUCAUCUAGACGAGGUGGUUGUAAAGGCUAACUAGAAAUACAUCUUUGAAGAAACUAUAGGGUCAUCCAGAUGGAGAUUUUGCAACCUCUAUACAAACGCCUGCAGCUUGGCCAGACUAUUGCCCAUCUCAAGAUAGGCUGGAGUGUGUUCUACUACAGAAAGAUAGUUUUGUUUUUAGAUGUUGAAUUUUUAGAUGCUACUUUGUCAAGCAGUGUACUGAAUUUGUUGUAAACCGACCUAGUUAUGAACUCACAUCAACUUUGUUCAUUGUAAACUGACCUAGUUAUAUAAGAAAUCCAAGUUUAUUUCGAGCAGUUUUUAUGUGGUGUAAUGACCAUUGCAGCAAUUACUAUAUCUUGGCAACAACAAUCAGGAAACGUUUUGCGAGUUGUCUAGAGCUAAUGAGUUGAACAAACGACUUGAUGAUCUGGUAGAUAACAGAUGUGCAAAACAGUAAAAUGCAGAGCAGGAAUCCCAAACCUAAAAAUAAACAUGAGAUUUCGCAGAUACACUCAACAAUACUAUUAGUGACAAGCCUAUCAUAAUCUGUUGAAAACACACAAAUUAGUAUAACAAACUUGACGUGCUACUUCUACACGGAAUUUUGACAAACACUCGCAUGGAGCAAUUUUAUCGACAUAAUAAUUCAGAAGGUAAAUGCAUUACACCUCAAUCAAGUAUUCGCUAUACAUCAUGAAAAUGAAUUGGCGGUGAAAUCUUUGCCUUCAUGUUACAAAUUUCGCUUGCAUUCAGAUCUAUCUUUUGUGAACUGAAUAACUAGAGUCCAGCUGAAUGAGAUGUUCCGUUCAUGGCAUAAAAAUUCAGAAUUCUUCUAUCUUCUUCUUGCUUUGGCAGCUUCAGUCAGGCUUUUGAAUUUGUGGCAAGCAUCAACAGGUCGAGCAGAUGCACGUGGUUGUGGUUGUGCUAAACAGAAAAUCGUAUUCUGAACAAAGCAGCCCAGCCAGAAAACAAGGAAAUAAGGAAUACAUUAAGUACCAAAUACCUGUAUACACAGAGAUUUGUUUCAUCUGUAUAGAACAAGUAGUAUAUCAUCAUGAAUUUCAAUCUCAAGACAAUGGUCUUUCACCCAAAUGAAGCUUCUAGUUAGAUCCAUGCAUAACAGUGCCAGAAGAUCUAAAUACGUGCUCAUAUGAGAGCUAACUACUUCACUACAUUUUAUUUUGCAGGGAGAGAGUUAGCUAUUUCUCAACUACAAAAUUUAGCAUCCAAUUGAUUGAUAAGAUUUUAGUCCUCAACAUAUUUAUUAAUGAUAUUAUAUCCAAAACUGUACAGAAACUGCAAGUGCUUCAGUUCUAUAUUGCCCAAACAAUCUAUGGAGAUGCAGAUUGCAAAAGAAAACCAGAAAACUGAAGCCGACGCUAAUUUGCAUUACUAAUUGUGGAAAUUCAUCAAUACAUUUGUUGACGACUAGAAGCUUAUCAUCUUCUUUCAACUGUGAAAAUGGCACGCCUGGGGAUGCCUUUUGUGAUAUAAUUCCUACCUGAAAACGUAAUUUCCUAAUUUUUAUGUGAAAAUCAAUGAUUGCACCCAAAAAACUCAAAAAAUAAUAGUAAACUCUACAAGAAGUAUGUGAAGUGUUUACUUUAACUCGAGCAUGAGGUAUAUCUACUUUAAACCCAUACAUAUAUGGUAGGAAAGUCACAUAUGCAUUCUAAAUAGAUAGGAAUCCCAAAAAUGAUUUAUUUUAUUCUAGUAGGAAAUUUUAGCAGCACCUCCAGAAUAUACAUUAAGUAGUAACAUUAUAAUAAUGUUUGGAGGAGCUACUAGCUGUAGGUAUGACUCUGAGCUACUAGCGGCACCUCAACAAUAUAUUUUGCAGCAAGAUCUGCUCAUCAUGUAUUGUGGUACAACGAUAUAUCGUAGAACAAAACAUUUCUCCCAUACCUUCCCAAAAAAAGCCAAGAGAAAUUCAGUGACUUUGAUAAGGCAAUCAGGCUAUACAACUAAAGUCAGUUCACAAAAGGGGAAUUCUGCAGAGGAAGAAAAAUGUAUGUUUUGAGGGAGCAUAUGUACAUGGUGAGGCCACACCUGGAUCCCUAACACAAAAAGAUUGAACUAAGGAAUGAGAGGUGCUUCAAACAACAUCAAGAACAACACUAGUUGGACAAAAAUACCUUCCUUUUGGAAUUGGAUAUGGGUAUCUCGAUAAGAAUCAGGAAACAGUACAAGAACUUGGCCAACAAAAUUAGCAUCUAGAAAGUACGCAAACUACAAUGAAGAAAAACGAUGCUGAGGUCGCAGCCAUCCUAGGAUUGUGGCGGAUACGCCAAGAAAAUUCUGAUAUUAUAAGCCUGAGCAUAUGAAUGUUUAUUUCACAUAGAAUGGUAAUUUCAUGCUCCUCUCAAUACAACAGACAUGAGUGAUUCCUUGACAAGUAAUUUUCCCCAUCACAACUUACCAUCCCCGUUUUGAUGUCAAACUCAUGCAAACAAAUUCGGAUGCACUCUUGAUGACACAAACAUCCUCCAGUCUAUCAAAAAAUAGGUAGGAAUCCCCAUUUACAUCAUUACAUGAGCUCAUGAAGUAGGAGGAGAGACCAAACUUGAAGAGGAGGUCGAUGAUACCUACGUAGAUUGUAAUGACUCAAGGGCGGCUGGUGAAAUCUCUAGAUCCUUCCAAUCGGGGAGGUGAGGAUGGGACAGGAGAGAAACAGUCCCCGAGCUUGCAGAGCGCGGGGAAGCGACCAAGCGCCGGCGUGGAGCUGAGGUCGCGCUUGGACGAGGCGGCGGCGUCGCUUCCGUUGAAUUGGAUCACGCCGGCGGGACGACCUCUUCUCCUCGUACAAAGCCACCGGAGCUAGUUCACGACCGCAGGGAUAUAGUGACCUGUUUUGCUGGCCUUCGGCGAUGGGGAACCGUCGUGGCGGCGGUGGAUGGACGGUCUGGUGGAGAUGGUGUGGAAUAUGGCACCUCCCCUACCAGUCUCCCACGACCCAUAGAAAGUGGGCUUUCUUCCAAAA
rnacentral:lncRNA from 1 species